ACUGAACGCUGGCGGCAUGCUUUACACAUGCAAGUCGAACGGUAACAGGCCGCUAGGUGCUGCCGAGUGGCGAACGGGUGAGUAAUGCAUCGGAACGUGCCCAGUCGUGGGGGAUAACUACUCGAAAGAGUAGCUAAUACCGCAUACGAUCUAUGGAUGAAAGCGGGGGACCGUAAGGCCUCGCGCGAUUGGAGCGGCCGAUGUCAGAUUAGGUAGUUGGUGGGGUAAAGGCUCACCAAGCCAACGAUCUGUAGCUGGUCUGAGAGGACGACCAGCCACACUGGGACUGAGACACGGCCCAGACUCCUACGGGAGGCAGCAGUGGGGAAUUUUGGACAAUGGGCGCAAGCCUGAUCCAGCAAUGCCGCGUGCAGGAAGAAGGCCUUCGGGUUGUAAACUGCUUUUGUACGGAACGAAACGGCUCUGGUUAAUACCCGGGGCUAAUGACGGUACCGUAAGAAUAAGCACCGGCUAACUACGUG
rnacentral:rRNA from 1 species